ensembl:lincRNA
GACAGUCACCUGGGAGUGGAACUGUUUGAUAGGAUUAGCAAGAUUAGGAGGUGUGGCCUUGUUGGAGGACCUGUGUCACUGGGGGUAGGCCUUGAGGUUUCAAAAGCCAUGCCCCCCUCUCUGUGUCAUUUCCCCACAUACAAGCCUCCCCCCCUUUCUCUGCCUGCAGAUCAGGUUGUAAAGCUCUCAGCGCCUUCUCCAGCACCUUCCUACUUGCUGCCAUGCUCUCCGCCACGAUGACCAUGGACUAACCUCUGGACUGUACGCAAGUCCCCAGUUAAGUGCUUUCUAGGAGUUGCCUUGGCGGUGAUGUCUCUUCACAGCACUACAACAGUGACCAAGACACCUGCCACAUGGACACAGCCUAGGAAGGGAGAAAACCAUCACACAGCUCUUCUGCCCUGUUCUGAGGCACACCUGGCCCUGCCCCUUGGGAACACAGCACGGUGUAUCAUCACCUCCCUGGGCUGCAGUGUGGGGAACACAGCACGGUGUCUCACCUCCCUGGGCUGCAGUGUGGGGAACACAGCACAGUGUAUCAUCACCUCCCUGGGCUGCAGUGUGGUCCUCUGCCUACUUCCUUCUUUUCUUCCUUUUUCUCCCCCCCCCCCACCUCUGUGCAUCUGUCUCUUUCUCCCUCCAUCUCCUCACAAGGCCAUUCUGUGCUCUCUUCCCUUCUCCCUUCCCUUCUCCCAGUAAAACUUCCCAUGUAAGCUCUGUCUGCAUGGCAUGUUUGUCCCUCAACCUGCUGUGGUUUGGACUCAACCUGCUAUGGUCUCUCCAGUGCAAAAUCAUAACACCUGGUUCUGCAGAAGUCCUUAAAACAAAAAUGCAAACAAGCAUAGAAAAUGUCAUCAAUUGUGUGAAUUGUUUCUGGAGGACUGACUAGGAGGCUAUUCAAGAUCUCUGGGAGUGCUCACUAUUAAUUGUGGAGCCAUCUCUCCAGCCCUGAGAAGAAGACCUGAAGAGGAAAUAAAAGUGACUGCGGAUUCAGUUAUAUGGACCUAUACCUGUAGUAAGAUUGAAAAAAAAAACCAGGUACACAGACACACAGACACGACUAUAAAGCUGGUAAGUUCUAACUAUGACAUAAGGAACUCAAUCUUAAUAUUACCUAUACUUAUGCAAUAUGUUACAUAAUGGCACAUAAGGCCUUCCCAUGCUACUUUGUAGACUAUGUGUUAUUCUGUAACCUUUUAAAUAAAAGUCAAAGAAAUAAAGACAUUUUCAGAUAGAGAAUCUGUGUCCAGGAGUCUACAAGAAAUGAUAAAUUCUCAGUUACAGGGAAAUGGUAUAGCACCCUACUUCCCACCCCUUAAGAGGGGCUGAGCACAGGGCCUCCCUCCCAAAGAGUGCAGACUGAAUAGGAGAGAAAAUGGGCACUGUAAACCAUGGACAGUGACACACUAGUCAGGCGGUCAAGGUCAGCCUCAAUUGUGAGAUGGGGAGAAAGACAACACCCAAUAUUCUGAGCUCUUAAUAAAAGAACUGCCAUGACUUCCUUGAUGUGACAUCUCAGUACCUGUCAUAACAUGUCACUGUCACACAGACCAAGUGAGGGAUCAUAAUGAAUCCAUAUGUUAUAUAUCAACAAAGAUUGAUUGUUUUGUGUUGAAAUAAAAACAUUUAGAAAAAUUGUCUCACUUUUUCUUUCUUGCAUCCCCAGAGGUUCCCUGCAGCCUAAUGGCUUGGAUGAAAUUCAAUCCUGAGCCCGCCCUUCACAUAAGCUGAGCCAGUGUUGACUGUGCAACUCAAAUGUUAAUUAUAUCUUUCAGUGGCUUUUGAAUAACUGUGACUAAAUUCUACAUCUAAGGCACAUUUGAAGGACAUAUAUAAUCCACACUGAACCACAAACCAUCAGCUGGUCUACUGCAAGGAACAGCCUCCUGGGUUUCCUGAACAUCUCCCAGGUUCUUCAGAGUGAGCCCAAUGCCUUCUGCUCCAGACAUCUUACCAGUCAUCUUACGAGCCACCGAGCCAACAACCCCAGAGCCUGGCUCUGUAUGUGCCAGCAGCCUUCUGUUUGUGAAAGCUAGAAGUUUUAGUCUGUGGGGAGAUAAACUUUGUCUACAGUCCCUGGAAACCACUUUCAAACUUACAAUAAAAUUGGUGGCAAUCUGAGGAGAGUGGAUGAAAUCCCCUUUGGUUGCAGUGACAAAAUAUUGCCAGUUAGGUUGCUUAAAAUGAUGGAAAUUGCUUCUUAGGAAUCUAAAGGAUCAAAGUAUGAAACCUGAGGGGUUGGCAGAACCACGCUGUCUCUGAAGUGUUAUGAGGAGUACAUCUUCUCACCUCUUCCUGCUUCACACGGUCCCAGGACCACCUUAGUCUCCGUCUCACUGGCCAUCUUCCAUCAUGUCUGUGUCUUCUCUCCUCUUAGAAGGUCACCACUCACACUGGCUUGGGAAUCACUAUAUACGACUUCAUCUUAAUGAAUUAUGCCUGCAGCAGAAUUCUAACUAAGAGCGUUCUGACAGGGAUUGAACUUCCACAGGCCAUUUUGGUGGGAACACAAGUCAAAUCACAAUGAAAUGAGAAGUUCACAGUGGCUGCAAAGCCUAGACAGGUCCUCUCAGUUCCUGGCUAAGUUAGCCACACAUGGCUGUCACACAUGGCUUCCUCCAAGGAUUUGGAACUGGCCCAUUUCACUUUCCCGUCUAGCACCCAGUGAAUUCCAUGUCUCAGGAGGUACACUGACUGCUUUCAGCCCCUGCUGAGAGGGCAAGAUUCCUUCCCAGUACAAGUCAGAGGUCCUUACUGGGUGGUGGUGACGCACACCUUUAAUCCCAGCACUUGGGAGGCAGAGGCAGGCGGAUCUCUGUGCGUUCAAGCCCAGCCUGGUCUACAAGAGCAAGUUCCAGGACAGCCUCCAAAGCCACAGAGAAACCCUGUCUCGAAAAACAAAACAAAACAAAACAAACAAAAAAAGUCAGAGGGCCUGCCUGUGGUGAUAUAUUGUUUAUGAUUUAUUCAAGUCACUGGAGAUCAAAAUAGCAAAGCAGGCAUACUAAUUAGCCAUAGAAGCCAGGCAGUGGUGGCUCACACCUUAAGCCCAGGACUCAAGCAGAGGGAUGUCUCUGAGUUCAAGGCCAUCCAAGGCUACAACAUGAGAUUGGAUCAGUCUAAAAGAGUAACAGAGCUCACAUCUUUAAUCACACACUUAUGUGAAUCUGUUUAAAAUACUUAAAAUAGUGCUAGAGAGAAGACGGAUGUAGCUCAGUCGUCUGCGUACUUGCCUAAUGUACACCCUGGGUCCAAGCACUUGGGGAGAGGCAGGAGAAUCAGAAGCUCACAGUGGCGGGGCAGCCUUUCAUCCCAGCACUUGCGAGGCAGAGGCAGGUGAUCUCUAAGAAUUCCAGGUGGACCACAUGAGACCCUAAAAAAAAAAAUAUCACGAAGGGCAAGCGUGCUGUUCUCUCUUGGUAUCUUCAUUUCCAAGCCUAGCUUUCAACUUGGGCUUCCAUGAACUAGGCCUGCUUUUUAGCAUGAGACUUAUGGUAAAGCGUCAGGGGAACCUUGGCAGAUUCCAUGGUAGGCGAGGGUGACGGAGAUGGGGGGACG